CUCGAUUUGAACAGUCGAACAGUUCAGGAUUGUGAUUAUCAACAUCUCCUACAGAACCUGUUUUUAGAUUAGCAUCAUUUUGGCCAAGUAGAGGCUAGAGUAAGAACCAGAGCUAUCCUCUGCUCUCUGCCGUGUGUAAGUGGCUCAGCUCACCUAGGAAUAUUCCCUUGGCUCUUGGGCUCUUGGACAGUGGAGAAAAGGAAUGUUUGUGGGAAGGUAUUUGCUGGCUCAGCUGAGAACUGCAAGGCCGUUCGAUGGACACUGUAACUUGAUCUGGGAUGCACUGGUCUGAGACAGCUCGCCUUGAUGUCUAUCUACUCUUAUGGCCAUGAACAAGGAGUUUAGGAAGAUAAUCAAUAGUGUAUAAGUGAUUUUAGGAACUUUAAGUAAGAGAAAAAUAUAAGUUGCAAGAGGCCUUUG